CGGGGUGUAGCGCAGCGGGAGCGCACCUGCUUUGGGAGCAGGGGGUCAGAGGUUCAAAUCCUCUCACCCCGACCA
rnacentral:tRNA from 2 species